rnacentral:lncRNA from 1 species
CAUGCCUUGAGAUUUGGAUUUUGUAUCAACACCCUAACAUGACUGCCACAUAGGUUGCUUGUCUUAUGAUCACUAACUUGUUACAUCUAACCUCAUAACGUUUAUCUUAUGCACUUUACAUCUUUGCAACUUACCUUAUGUCAUUUAGUUUAUGCAAUAUGCUCUUGUGCCUUUACUUUAGGCAAUUUACUUAUGUGCCUUUACUUUAUGCAAUUUACC